rnacentral:rRNA from 1 species
UACGUAGGUGGCGAGCGUUGUCCGGAUUUACUGGGCGUAAAGAGCGCGCAGGCGGUCGUGCAAGUCGCGUGUGAAAUCCCCGGGCUUAACCUGGGAACUGCAUUUGUGACUGCAUCGCUGGAGUGCGGCAGAGGGGGAUGGAAUUCCGCGUGUAGCAGUGAAAUGCGUAGAUAUGCGGAGGAACACCGAUGGCGAAGGCAAUCCCCUGGGCCUGCACUGACGCUCAUGCACGAAAGCGUGGGGAGCAAACAGG